UUUUGACCUCGGAUCAGG
rnacentral:rRNA from 1 species